AUGGAGCUGAAGGCUUUAGUUGGAGGUCUUUUCCUGAGUUUGCUUGUUCUCUGGAAUGUUUGUUACUGUGUUCAAUCUCAUCAGGACGCGACCGAGACCGUAAUCAACCUCUUGGAGGCUCUUAACGUCACUCGCUCUACCCACGGGGUGUCUAAGGUCAAAGGUCGUGACCCAAAGACGCCGGCUUGGCGUUUCCGUUCCAACACGCCUCAUCUCAAACUACCCCAGACACUUUUGGACUACCUCUUCAACACCUCACAGGGCGUCCUGGGUUUGCACCUGGUGGGCCGUCAGAGCAGAGGCUCGGAGGCCACCCUCAUCUCCUUCACCUCCUCUACCUUCCUGCAGAAUGGCGAUCGCCCCCUGCUGGAGCUCGUCUCCAACACAAAAGCAGACAGGCUGCAGCUGGAGUUCAGGUCAGCGGACGGCAUGCGGCCGGAGGUGCUAAAGUUGCCCGCCGGGAGUCCCUUUACGAGCAGAGGUUGGGUGAGGAUGGCUCUGAGUGUGGAGCCCAGGCAGAUGGUGCUGUAUGUGGACUGCCAGGAUGCCGUGGUGCUCAAACUGAAAGAAGGGGGACGAAUCCUGACUCUGGACUUCCCACAUGAUCUGCAGGUUAUCUUCUCCAGCACUGCAGGAAAAAAGGCCAGCAAGUUCAGUGUGAGUUUACUGAUACAAACAAAUAUGUACCUACAUGCUAGUGUAUCUGGACACCUAAAAAUUUGCCAUUUUUUGACUUCUAAUCAACUGAUCCCAAUGGAAUUUUUAAACACGGACCUGCAGGCGAGAGUUGACUACCUGGAAACGUGUGAGUGUUCGAAACGGAAUUGCGUGUGGGAGGGACGUGAGAUGGAUGAGGGGUCCCGCUGGUCUCCUGACAGCCGCACUGUCUGUUACUGCACCCAUGGGAAAGUGUAUUUGUUUUUUCUUCCGUGUAAAUUUUUAGGAUGUGAACAUGAGGGUGAAAUCUAUGAGAAUGGGAAGCAGUUUGUGUCGAGAUCAAACCCUUGCCUCCAGUGCAGCUGCUCUGUGAGUCUACUGUGUGUGUGUUCUCCUUGUGGGGAUGAAAUUGAAAUUAAAAUUGAAACAAAAAAUAACUGUACCACAAAACCUUUAAAAACCACCCAAGAAAAAGAUGAUAAAAGGUCAGGGAAUAUAGUCUGUAACACUGAGACGUGUCCUGAAAUUGCCUGUAAUUUGGUGGAGACUGUAGGUGGGCAGUGCUGUCCCAGGUGUCGAAGUUGUGUCCAGGAGAAUGUGCGGCACCAACACAGCUCUCAGUGGAAGCUUCCUAAUGACCCCUGCACGACCUGUACAUGCACGUUGGGUCUGGUUCAGUGUGAGAGUGAGCGCUGUAAUAUCCGCUGUAAUAGCCCAGCCUCUCCUCCUCCUGGAUCCUGCUGUCCUGUCUGUGACGGUUGCAGUUUGAAUGGAAUAGAUAUCCCGAACGGGAUGACUCUGCCGCCAGGACCCACAUGUGAUCCCACGUGUAAAUGUGAGAAUGGAAAUAUUAAAUGCGUUCAGUACCCACCCUGCCCACCGACUCCCUGUCAUAAUCCAGUCAGGAGACCAGGAGAAUGCUGUGGCGAGGCGUACACAGACGGUCAAACCUUUGUGUCCAGACAGGAUCCAUGCUUAAGAUGUCAGUGCUCGGGUGGACAAGUGUCGUGUGAAUCUGCAACAUCUUCAUGUCCGUCUGCGAGUUGCACGCACCCAACAAAACCACACGACCAGUGCUGUCCAACUUGUAACAGUGGCGAUUGCUGUGGUGAUUCCUGUGGGCAGUGCCAGUACAAUCAGCGCUUGUAUGAAAACGGCCAAACGUUCAAGGACCCGGAUGAUGCCUGUAAGACGUGCACCUGUCAGAAUGGUCAGACAAGUUGUGCUAUGCCUGCAUGUCCCCAACCGACGUGUGCUAAUGCAUACACUCCUCCUGGAGAGUGCUGUCCCCGGUGUUCAGACUGUGAAUAUGAUGAUAACCACAUCAUUACUAAUGGAGAAUCAUUUCCAAAUCCUUCGAAUCCAUGUGAGGAUUGUGUUUGCCAAGACGGACGUGUGAACUGUGGGAAUCAUGAGUGUCCGAGGCCGAAUUGUAACUAUCCCCGGCCGGGGACGUGCUGCCAAAACAACUGCAAUGGAUGUAGUUAUGCAGGUAAUGAGUAUCCAAAUGGAAUGGAAUUUCCUCAUCCAGUAGACAAAUGCAGGACGUGCCGUUGUGAAAAUGGUAACGUCCAGUGUCUGAGGAAGCAAUGUCAGGUGGCAAAUUGUGCUGGUGCGUUCGUUCCAUCAGGAGAGUGCUGCCCCCAGUGUCCAGAAGCCCCUGCUGACUGCAUUUUUGAAAGACAGCGUUACAGUCACUUGCAGCAGUUCCAUCAUCCCGUUGACAGCUGUCAGUCAUGCUUCUGCACCAAUGGGGAGGUGAGCUGCCAUCGCAGGCCCUGCCCCUCUGCUGUCUGCUCUCACCCUGUAAUUCAAGAGUGCUGUCGCACAUGUGAUGCCUGCAUGUAUGAUGGCCGGGAGUAUCAGAAUGGUCAGGAGUUUCCAGACCUCGCUGAUCGCUGCAGUCAUUGCAUGUGCAGGAAUGGUCAGGUGACCUGCAACAGGAGGCCAUGUCCAAACCCAGGAUGUAGUAACCCCAUCACCCAGCCGGGCCAGUGCUGUCCAGUGUGUGAUGCCUGCAUGCAUGAUGGCCGGGAGUAUCAGAACGGUCAGGAGUUUCCAGACCCCACUGAUCGCUGCAGUCGUUGCAUGUGCAGGAAUGGUCAGGUGACCUGCAACAGGAGGCCAUGUCCAAACCCAGGAUGUAGUAACCCCAUCACCCGGCCGGGCCAGUGCUGUCCAGUGUGUGAUGUUGUAUUCUGUGUUUUAGCUUGCAUGUAUGAUGGCCGGGAGUAUCAGAACGGUCAGGAGUUUCCAGACCCCGCUGAUCGCUGCAGUCAUUGCAUGUGCAGGAAUGGUCAGGUGACCUGCGACAGGAGGCCAUGUCCAAACCCAGGAUGUAGUAACCCCAUCACCCAGCCGGGCCAGUGCUGUCCAGUGUGUGAUGCUUGCAUGUAUGAUGGCCGGGAGUAUCAGAACGGUCAGGAGUUUCCAGACCCCGCUGAUCGCUGCAGUCAUUGCAUGUGCAGGAAUGGUCAGGUGACCUGCGACAGGAGGAAGCGGUGUCCUCAACAGUGCGCUCAUCCGGUGAGCAUGAGGGACUGCUGUCCCGUGUGUGACGGCUGUCUGUUUGAAGGGCAGCGGUACGGAAACACGCAGACGUUCUACGCCCCCUCAGACCCCUGCAAGCGCUGCGUGUGUCAGAGCGGCUCUGUUACAUGCAGCCCGGUCAAUUGUCCCCCGGUUUCCUGCCAUAACCCCAUCAUCCCGCCGGGACAGUGCUGCCCACAGUGCAGAGCGUGUUUUCAGCAAGGUCGGGAGUAUUUAGAAGGACAGAGCUUGACCCUCCCCAAUGAGCCCUGCAUCAAAUGCACCUGUGUGAACGGUGAGGUGAACUGUGUGGGUCCAGACUGUCCUAAACUGACCUGCAUGCAUCAGGUCACUGAUCCCGGCUCCUGCUGUCCCCGCUGCAGAGGCUGUAUUUAUGAUGGCGUUGAGCACCUUGAAGGCAGUACCUGGUUUGCAUCCAGCAGUCCCUGCAUGUCCUGCAUGUGUGUGAAUGGAGUGACCACCUGCUCAGAGGUCUACUGUCUGUCCACCUGUCUAAACCAGAUCAGCGUGCCGGGCGAAUGCUGCCCAGUGUGUGCAGACUGUGUGUAUGAAGGCCGUGUGUACGGCCCUGGAGAGAGUUUCCACGCCUCUGAUGACCCCUGUCAGAUCUGCAUCUGUGAGGUGAUGCCAGACGGGGAACAGCACUUGCGCUGUUACAAGAAGCAGUGCCCAAGUCUGGUGGACUGUCCUAAACACAACAUCCUAUACAGUGGCUCUGACUCCUGCUGCCCUGUCUGUGCACAGCCCCUCAGUAACUGCACAGCUACACUGAUCGGUAAUGAAGUGUUGGCCACUCAUGAUCCGUGUUUUACCUGUCAGUGCAAGGAUUUGACGUGGACAUGUAUCCAUCGGGGCUGUCCUCCUCUCAGUUGCCCUCCGGCCGAUCAGCACACACCGCCGGAUUCCUGCUGCCCCGUCUGUGAUGAGUGUGUAUUAGACGGCAACCAAACCCGCGUGUCAAACGGCCGGAGAUGGACAGACAAGGAGAACGAGUGUGUCACCUGCAUCUGCAAUCAAGGGCAUAUCGAGUGUGAUCUGCAGGAGUGUUCUCCUCUCGAUUGUCUGAAUGGAUCGAUCAAAGUGAAGAACCCUGGGAAGUGCUGUCCUGAGUGCACAGGCAUCUUAACUGUGGUUUACUCCAAAGACGCUCUUGCGCAGUGUGUGUACGAUGGUCAGCGGUACAACCACAAUGACCACUGGGAAGUGGACGAGUGUACGUCCUGCACCUGUGUGUAUGGAGAAGUGCACUGCCAGACCCAGAGAUGCCCAACGCUCACAUGUGCCUCGGAUGAAACGCCGGCUCUGGUUCCGGGAAUGUGUUGUCCUCACUGCAUUCCUCACCCCGCCACCUGCAUUGUGUUUGGAGACCCUCACUACCGAACGUUUGAUGGAAAGAUGGUGAACUUCCAGGGGAAGUGCACAUAUGUUCUGGCUCAGGACUGUGAGGGUGGAGACUUCAGUGUUCAUGUGUCUAAUGAGGACCGGGGACGUAGGGGAGUGUCUUGGACUAAAGAAGUGUCUGUGUUUAUUGGAGAUAUUGUGGUACAGCUGUUUCAGGACUGGAUUGUCAAGGUUGAUUAUCAGCAAGUCUCUCUGCCGUUUCUUAAAGAACCGUAUGUUUACCUGGAGCGCAAGACCAACACCAUCCUCCUGAACACCAAUGUUGGGCUGAAGGUGUUGUGGAAUGGUCGUUCUCAUCUGGAAGUCAGUGUUCCUGGUACCUACAAGAAGUACAUGUGUGGUUUAUGUGGCAACUUCAAUAACUACCCUCAGGACGACACGAAACUACGCAAUGGACAAAUCACCAGCUCUGAAGCAGUGUUUGGAAACAACUGGAAGGUUAAGACUGGAAAUCCAAGUGUUCAGUGUCCUGAUGCGAUAAACAUUCACCCAUGUAAAGAAGCAGGAUACUCGGCCCGUAAGACUGCGAAUGCUCGCUGUGCAGUGCUGAAGUCGCCCGUGUUUGAGCGCUGUCAUAAGCUGGUGCCACCCGAGAUGUUCUAUGCUUCGUGUGUGUAUGAUCUGUGUGCCUGCGGCUCCAAUAUAGACGAGUGUUUGUGUGACGUGUUGGAGGCUUACGCGUCUGAGUGCCGUGAGGCUGGAGUUAUCCUGCAGUGGAGGUCGCCGACACUCUGCGCCGUGGGCUGUCCGCUUGACCGUGGUUAUGUGUUUGAUGAAUGCGGGCCGCCGUGUCCUAAGACGUGUUUUAACAAAGAUGUGCCGCUUGGCGUGAUCGAGGCUCACUGCUUCAAACCCUGUGUGCCGGGAUGCCAGUGUCCCGCUGGCCUAGUGGAACACAACGCUCACUGCAUCGCCCCCGAGAAAUGCCCGAAAAUUAUCCACGGCAAUCUCUGAGACCCACAAACUCGACCAAACAUCACGUGGAGUCAAACCAGCUAAAACUGAGAUCUGAUGAACCACAACAAGCUCUUUAAGUCAACACGAAAUCAGAAUUUGCUUUAUUUCUUUUUAAUUCAUAUUCCUG
rnacentral:lncRNA from 1 species